rnacentral:rRNA from 1 species
GACGAACGCUGGCGGCGUGCUUAACACAUGCAAGUCGAACGGAAAGGCCCUGCUUUUGUGGGGUGCUCGAGUGGCGAACGGGUGAGUAACACGUGAGUAACCUGCCCUUGACUUUGGGAUAACUUCAGGAAACUGGGGCUAAUAACGGAUAGGAGCUCCUGCUGCAUGGUGGGGGUUGGAAAGUUUCGGCGGUUGGGGAUGGACUCGCGGCUUAUCAGCUUGUUGGUGGGGUAGUGGCUUACCAAGGCUUUGACGGGUAGCCGGCCUGAGAGGGUGACCGGCCACAUUGGGACUGAGAUACGGCCCAGACUCCUACGGGAGGCAGCCGUGGGGAAUAUUGCACAAUGGGCGGAAGCCUGAUGCAGCAACGCCGCGUGCGGGAUGACGGCCUUCGGGUUGUAAACCGCUUUCGCCUGUGACGAAGCGUGAGUGACGGUAAUGGGUAAAGAAGCACCGGCUAACUACGUG